UGCCCAGCAACUCCUAUUCCUCGCGGUAUUGGCCGGGGGUACGAGGAACUUUGGUCGUAUGCUGACAGGGAAGG
rnacentral:ribozyme from 1 species